CCCUGAUGGGGUACACAAACUUUAAAAUACAUACUACAUAUGUGUGUGUGUGUGUGUGUGUGUAAAUGGAGUUCACUUUAAAAUAACAAUAAAAAGCAUAAUAUAGGAAAUAUAUAAACUAGUAACACAGUUAUACUGCACAUAAUUGUGUUAUGCUUUUAUAAGACUGAGAGUGGCUGGGAGUGGUAGCUCACGCCUCUAAUCCCAGCACUUUGGGAAGCUAAGGCGGGCGGAUCACCAGGUCAGGAGUUUGAGACCAGCCUGGUUAAUACGGUGAAAUCCCAUCUCUACUAAAAAUACAAAAAUUAGUGGGGCGUGGUAGCGUGCACCUGUAGUCCCAGCUACUUGGAAGGCUGAGUCAGGAGAAUCGUUUGAACCCAGGAGGUGGAGGCUGCAGUGAGCUGAGAUUGCACCACUGCACUCCAGCCUGGGUGACAGAGGGAGACACCAUCUCAAAAAAAAGGACUGACAGCACAAGAUUUGUUUAUACCAGCAUCAUCACAAACUUGUGAGUUGUGUUGCGCUACAAUGUCACAAUGGCUAUUGUAACUGCCCAGUGGGUUUACCUUGCCUGCUGCCUAGACAGAACUGAUUUAUAAAGACGGGGAAUUGCGAUGGAGAAAGAGUAAUUCACGCAGAGCUGCUGUGCAGGGGACUGGAGUUUAUUAGUACUCAAAUCAGUCACCCCAAGUAUUCAGGAAUCAACAUUUUCAAAGAUAAUUUGGCGGCCUGGUGGAGGCCAAGGUCAUGGAUUCAAUUCUCACAUAGUCCAAUUAGCCCCACUUGCUGUGGGGCCUGCAGCAUCUCUCCUAGACUGUCUCUAGCCACAGUGCAAAUGAAUGUAUUGGACCCACAGGGCACUGUAAAAGAUUGAAUAAAUGUGUGCAAAUCUGUACUUAUUUGUGGAAAAUCAAUUUGAAGUUCAUACACCCUGUUUACAGUAUUCAGUAAUGUGCACAGAAACACAGAGGGGAAAAAAAGAGUGCUUUUAAACUGAUAUCUUGACCCAU
ensembl:lncRNA